GUCCACGCAGUAAACGAUGAUUACUGGAUGUCGGAUCGUAGGAUUCGGUGUCGAAGCUAACGCGUUAAGUAAUCCGCCUGGGAAGUACGAUCGCAAGAUUAAAACUCAAAGGAAUUGACGGGGGCCCGCACAAGCGGUGGAACAUGUGGUUUAAUUCGACACUACGCGAGGAACCUUACCUGGGUUUGACAUGCUAUUGAAAGUCUUUAAAUGAGAUCUUUCGGAGUAAUCCGAACAAUAGCACAGGUGCUGCAUGGCUGUCGU
rnacentral:rRNA from 1 species